ensembl:lncRNA
GGUUCACACUGCCCUGAGGGGUAGCUCCUCUCUCUGAUGGCUGGAAAUGCUGGGCAUGGGGUGAUUCUCCAGGGCACAGGUAUAGCUGUCAAACAGGCGGUGAGCGGCAGGCCCCAGUUUUGGGGACCCCCCUGUCCAGAGUGAAGGCAGGUGAGCAGGGGACCCCAGUCAGGCGGCACCGGGAGUCCUAAACUUGCUGGCUGGGCUCAUUCCCUACUCCAUCAUGCCCAGGAUGCUUCCAGUGCUGGCGAGGUGGGCCUUUGAGAGGGAUCCGCGUGGGCAGAGGCAAUCGCAGGCAGCCCCGCAGGCCCAGGCUGGGAAGCUCCGCUGCAGGAGCGCGGCACAGCCCCCGGCUGAGCAGUCCCGCCCACACCGGGCACCCGUCCCGGUGCCUCCUCGCCUUCGCGUCUGCAGCAUCCACCAGCCGCGCCGCCGCUGUGCCUGGUUUCCCGGCCGCACGGGGUGGGGCUGGCUGGGCAACUUCUCUAAGACGAGCCCCGCGCAUCGGGCCGGGCGUCGGAGCCGGGCAGUCCUGGGGGCGCGGGGCCGUCCUGGGGGCGCGGGGCCGUCCUGGGGGCGCGGGGCCGUCCUGGGGGCGCGGGGCAGUCCUGGGGGCGCGGGGCCGUCCUGGGGGCGCGGGGCAGUCCUGGGGGCGCGGGGCCGUCCUGGGGGCGCGGGGCAGUCCUGGGGCGCGGGGCCGUCCUGGGGGCGCGGGGCCGUCCUGGGGGCGCGGGGCCGUCCUGGGGCGCGGGGCAGUCCUGGGGCGCGGGGCCGUCCUGGGGGCGCGGGGCCGUCCUGGGGGCGCGGGGCAGUCCUGGGGCGCGGGGCAGUCCUGGGGCGCGGGGCCGUCCUGGGGGCGCUGAGCUGCCGGGCAAGGCGGGAAAUGGCGGCCCCGGCUGGGACGGAACAGGGCCCCACUGGGCUCCGGGCGGGACUGUGGGGAACCAGGGUGCCGGGGGGGGGGCCCUCCAUGCCAACCCCGGGGUCCACGGAGGGCGGGCACCCGCACCCGGCCAAACGGGCAGGGCUCAGUGCCGCACCCACUGGGCCUCCGGCGUCCCGCGGCCUCCCCGGGGCCGGGCUCCUGGGGCAGCAUCGGGGCCUGAGGAGUUGGCCUGGGGCUGGUGCGGCUGGGCCUCCGCCUCCGCCUCCGCUUCCAGGUCUCACCUGA